UACAGAGGGUGCGAGCGUUAAUCGGAAUUACUGGGCGUAAAGCGUGCGUAGACGGUUUCGUAAGUCGGGUGUGAAAUCUCGGAGCUUAACUCCGAAACUGCAUUCGAUACUGCCGUGCUUGAGGACUGGAGAGGAGACUGGAAUUUACGGUGUAGCGGUGAAAUGCGUAGAUAUCGUAAGGAAGACCAGUGGCGAAGGCGGGUCUCUGGACAGUUCCUGACGCUGAGGCACGAAGGCCAGGGGAGCAAACGGG
rnacentral:rRNA from 1 species